GCCAUAGUUUAUUUUCCAUUGCAUCAAGAAAUAAAAUUCCCUUCCAAAAUUAGCCCUCUUUGACUUAAAUUUCAUGCUCAAACUCUCUUCUUCCAUCUUCUUUCUCUUUUUCUCCUUUGCCCUAUUUGGAAGAUUUACACACAAUCGAAUGUUUUCUUCUUCGUUGAAGAACUCUAUUUCGGUCCAUUGGUGAAAUUAUAGACACUGCAGAUUUUUCGUAGAAGCUGAAGCUACAAUCGAGGAGGAGACAUGCACUCGUGUGAAUAGGGACGACAUCUAUAAUCGGUUGCAAUUCCUGGAGCGUCGCUACCAAACCUUCAAAUCAUUGGUUGAGCAUCCGAAUACACGAUUCGAGCCCUCGUCGAACAAGGUUUUUGCUUCUGAAAAAACUUGGACGGCCAUCCUUAAGAAAAAUGACUUUGCUGGAGCAUAUACAAAGAAUGGAGAACUAGAGUUGAAGCUGCUCAAGAUGUUGUUUAGUGGUGAGUUCAAUGUGAGCGAGAACGAUAUAGAAACUAUUGUGCUCUCGGACAACACCAUUGAUCUCAAUCCGGAUGUUGAUGAGGGCCAAUGUGAAGAUUAUGUAAGUGGAUAUAACCAUGAUAGCCAUCUACUGCCACGCAAUCUGUUCAAUGAGAGUUCACACUCCCGAGACUGUGAGUCAUCAAAUUCCAUGGAGAUUCGUGAUAGGGAGCUUGGACAACGACCUGAAAAUUUCAUCUACCACGGCUUUGACAACGCCCCAACAAGGACGGUUGACUCCUCAAACAGUAGCUCUUGUGCAUCGUCAAAGCCAACUUUAUGGUGGCGCCGACCAUAAUCGUGACUCUUAUCUACUAUGCUGUAAACUUAGGAUUGCCACUUGGAAAAUAAGUCGUAUCUUGCGACAAGGUUGUUGUCGUCUUAUGCAUAUUAUGAGUGUGUGGUUUUAAAAAUAUGUAAUCUCAUGUGUAGUCCUUAGAAUUAUUUCGAUUCCAAAAGUUGCUCUAUGCGACAUGUUAUGUAACUUUGUUUGUGAAAUAAACAUGAGUUUCAGAAAA